GUGGCUGUAGCUUAGACAGGUCAAAGUGCCAGUUUGUGGAACUGGAGAUCGCGGGUUCGAAUCCCGUCAGCCACC
rfam:Candidatus Blackburnbacteria bacterium RIFCSPHIGHO2_01_FTLL_43_15b rifcsphigho2_01_scaffold_921, whole genome shotgun sequence.